rnacentral:lncRNA from 1 species
UUUAUCAUAUGCUCGGCUCAUCCAUCUGUGUCUCAGUCUCCGGUGGACUCAUGAGUUUCAUCAAGAAAACCAUUUUCAAACCAGCAGACCAAAACAGAUCGUUUUCAACUCCCAGCCUCAUCGAGGCUUUGCAGUAGUUUUGCCUCGCGUUUACGAUUUAUGGAUGCAACAAACACAGAGCAGACAGAAGUGGUCCAGAGAUCUCCCCAUCGCAGGGUGUGUGCCUCCAAACACCGCUCAUCCAGCGUGCUGCACACGGGGGCUGCUAUGCAAGAGCAGUAUUCUCAAGCGCCACCACCAUGAAGUGAUAACAGAGAUCUUCCCAGUAAGUGAUGGAAAUGGCCGUGUGCCCAUUGGGGCUGGAGCUGAGGACCCAAACCUGAAUCCAUAGGAACUGUUUGCAAAGGUUUGUGAGGUUGCAUUGCUUUACUCGGUCUUUGCUUAACAUGCUAAAAGAGCAGCCAUCCCAUUCUCGAGCAAUCAAGUGAGUCUCUUGAAGUAAUUAAUUACUGGUUAAUUGCCAGGCAGGUUACUGUUCUGUAUAAUAAAAUUCCUGGAGAUUUU